CUAAGAGAUUAGGCGUUCCCUUCGGGGACGCAGAUACAGGUGGUGCAUGGCUGUCGUCAGCUCGUGUCGUGAGAUGUUGGGUUAAGUCCCGCAACGAGCGCAACCCUUAUUGUCAGUUACCAGCAUUCAGUUGGGCACUCUGGCGAGACUGCCGGUGACAAACCGGAGGAAGGUGGGGAUGACGUCAAGUCAUCAUGCCCCUUAUGACCUGGGCUACACACGUGCUACAAUGGAUGG
rnacentral:ncRNA from 1 species